CAAGAAAUAACCAUAAAAAUGGGCAACCAGCAGCCCUUGGGGUUGCUCAGUCUAUGGAGUAGCCAUUAUUUUAUUCCUUUACUUUCUUAAUAAACUCGCUUUCACUUUACUUUAUGGACUCGCUCUGAAUUCUUCCUUGUGCGAGAUCCAAGAACCCUCUUUUGGGGUCUGGAUCUGGACCCCUUUCCUGUAACUUCUUUCUGGUGACCCAGGUGGGAUUAUAGUGUGUAAGCCCCCAGUAAGUGGUGAGGUCCUGUAACAUCUUUCUGGCAACUAUGGAAUGGACUGCAGUAUGGAAACCCCGACCCAAAGGCUAACUUUGGGUAAGUGGUGGGGUCCGGUAACAUCUUUCUGGUGAACCCUAAAGGGACGAUACUUAGGAGACUCCUGACUCAAAGGAAAUAGACUAUAGCACUGAUUGGACAAUUUUGGAUAAGUGGUGGGGUACCCAGAUAAAGAAUGGGAUUGGGUUAGAAGCCCAACUUAGGAGGGUUAGAGUCCCUUCUAAGAUUUAGGGGGCUAGAAGCCCCUCUCGGUAAAGUCCCCUUUGGCUAAGAACAGGUUUGGCACUACGGUAUGUUAACUUCUAUUCUCCUUGGAAUAAUCUGCCUUGUACUCUUUGCUGAUGGAUGCGGAUGACAGGGUUAGGCAGGUACAGGAUCAUGGGACAUGAGGAGCUUUUUCCUCCCGUAAAGGGGAAACUUGAGAGUCGAUGGGACUGCUGGAAAACAUCCCUUCACUACCGAGAAGUGGCCACCUGAACUCUUCACUGUCGCUGCAGUGGGUGGAUCUUUCUGUGGCUUCCCUGAACGCCUGGCCUUCCCCACCUUGCCUCAGGCAAUGCUGUCGUCUCUCUCUGUGCAAACUGGUUGUAGGAAUGGUAAAAAUCACUAUUUCUUACAAAGUUUUGAUUAAUGGAAGAAAGGAUUUGUGAGGCUAGUCUUAAGCUGUAGCCAAUCUGGUGUGUUUCCUGUGUCAUUCUGUAUUGUUCUGUCAUAAAGAGGGGUACCUUAGGAUAGAACAUGGGCUUAGGACACCUAUAAGCCUGCUGUUCAAGAUGGCCCAGCAAACUGGUCAGUUAAAAACUUUGCUGCAGGACACAAUUGGAAACAGUGGUUAUUUUACCAACGCUUUGACUGGAAUGGCACGUUUUCCUUUAAGGAAUCAAACUUGACUUGUAAAGCCAAUAAAAGCCCCUUGGGGAAUUGGCCUCAGACCUUGUCUACAACAGCCCCUGUACAGGGUUUCUGACCUGUGAUAUCACCUUUUGUCAAAACUCGGAGUUAUGAAUUGCCCUCGCCAUACUGAUGCUUUCUGACUGAGCUCCUCUCUACCCUGAAUACAAGAGACUCUCAUAGUUAAGCAAGAAUAUCAUUGCUCCUAUUCAGCAUGAAGAAGUUACAGAAGAUGGAUUUUCAACCCUCUGCAACCCUUAGGAUUAAAAUUAUACAAACCUUUAGGAUUAUAAAAGGGAGGGGGUAAUGUCAGGCGUGUGAACCAGAGCAACUCCAUUUUGAGUAGAAGCUGUGUAAAACGAGGCUGAAACCUACUAGGCUGCAUUCCCAGACAGUUAAGGCAUUCUAAGUCACAGGAUGAGAUAGGAGGCUGGCAUAAAAUACAGGUCAUAAACAGCUUGCAGAUAAAACAGGUUGCAGUAAAGAAGCUGGCUAAAACCCACCAAAACCUAGAUGGUGACAAGAGUCACUUCUUAUCAUCCUCACUGCUACACUCCCACCAGUGCCAUGAUAGUUUACAGAUGCCAUGGCAACAUCAGGACAUUACCCUA
rnacentral:lncRNA from 1 species